rnacentral:rRNA from 1 species
UUCCGGUUGAUCCCGCCGGACCCCACUGCUAUCGGGAUAGGACUAAGACAUGCUAGACGUGUGCCUCAGGCAAAACGAGGCACGGCGCACAGCUCAGUAACACGUGGCUAACCUGCCCUUAGGACGAGAAUAACCCCGGGAAACUGGGGCUAAUGCUCGAUAGGUGAAGAACUCUGGAAUGAGUCUUCACUUAAAAGAGUCUGCGUUAUGCUCGUAGAUUUCGCUUAAGGAUGGGGCCGCGACCGAUCAGGUUGUUGGUGAGGUAAUGGCUCACCAAGCCUUUUACCGGUGCGGGCCGUGAGAGCGGGAGCCCGGAGAUGGGCACUGAGACAAGGGCCCAGGCCCUACGGGGCGCAGCAGUCGCGAAAACUUUGCAAUACACGAAAGUGUGACAGGGCUAUCCCGAGUGCCAUCCGCUGAGGAAGGCUUUUACCCAGUCUAGAACGCUGGGGGAAUAAGGAGAGGGCAAGUCUGGUGUCAGCCGCCGCGGUAAUACCAGCUCUCCGAGUGAUGUGGAUGUUUAUUGGGCCUAAAGCAUCCGUAGCUGGCUAAGUUAGUCCCCUGUUAAAUCCAACGAAUUAAUCGUUGGAUCGCGGGGGAUACUGCUUGGCUAGGGGACGAGAGAGGCAGACGGUAUUUCCGGGGUAGGGGUGAAACCCUAUAAUCCCGGGAAGACCACCAGUGGCGAAGGCUGUCUGCUAGAACGCGCCCGACGGUGAGGGAUGAAAGCUGGGGGAGCGAACCGGAUUAGAUACCCGGGUAGUCCCAGCUGUAAACGAUGCAGGCUAGGUGUUUGGACGGCCACGUGCCGUUCUAGUGCCGCAGGGAAGCUGUUAAGCCUGCCGCCUGGGGAGUACGAUCGCAAGAUUGAAACUUAAAGGAAUUGGCGGGGGAGCACCACAAGGGGUGAAGCUUGCGGUUUAAUUGGAUUCAACGCCGGG